rnacentral:tRNA from 1 species
GUGGGUAUAGCUCAGUGGAAGAGCACAUGCCUAGAAUGCAUGAGAUCCUGUGGGUUCAAUCCCCAGUACCUUCA